AUUGAACGCUGGCGGCAGGCCUAACACAUGCAAGUCGAACGAGUGGCGGACGGGUGAGUAAUGUCUGGGAAUCUGCCCGAUGGUGGGGGAUAACGACGGGAAACUGUAGCUAAUACCGCAUACGAUUGGAUGAGCCCAUAUGGGAUUAGCUAGUAGGUGGGGUAACGGCUCACCUAGGCGACGAUCCCUAGCUGGUCUGAGAGGAUGACCAGCCACACUGGAACUUAGACACGGUCCAGACUCCUACGGGAGGCAGCAGUGGGGAAUAUUGGACAAUGGGCGCAAGCCUGAUGCAGCCAUACCGCGUGUAUGAAGAAGGCCUUCGGGUUGUAAAGUACUUUGAUCGAGGAGGCGUUACUCGCAGAAGAAGCACCGGCUAACUCCGUGCCAGCAGCCGCGGUAAUAC
rnacentral:rRNA from 1 species